rnacentral:pre_miRNA from 1 species
UCUUCAGUUCGCGUGCUCUCUCACCGGCCAGAGAGGCGAGAGAGUGUGUGAAAUGAAGAGA